UUUUUUUUCUGUUUUAGGUUUCCAUAUACUGCCAUUUAUACCUCACUUAUAUCCGAAAAUGCCUUUUGGAGCUCGGCCUCCAUGGAGGCUGGUUUUUGAAAAACACAAAAUUCAUAAAAUAUCAUAUUUUUAUAAUUCAAAAAAAUCUGAAAAAAAUUACAGAUAUACAUGGAGGCAUAACACACAUGUGUGUAAAUUUUUAGGACGAAAUACGUCGAAAUGAAGGCUGUGCAAAAAAGACAAAUCUGAAGCUUUUUAACACAUGUUACUAUUCAUCCUCGAAGUCUAGAAAUUUAUCUUUUUUGUGUAGGUCGCAUUUCGAAGUAUUUCAUCUUGAAUUUUUACACACACAUACAUUUCAUCCGUGUAUAGUUGCAUAUUUAUUUUCAGAAUUUUUUGAAGUCAAAAAGUUUGAAUUUUGAAUUUUUCAAAAAUAAAGGGCUCCAUGGAGCUCGGUCACCAAAACGCCCUACUCACUUAUAUCUAGCUAUUUAGAGCAUUCAUAUUUUCAUCAGCUUCCACUCAUUUGAUUCAGUAUCUGGGCUUAGAUUGUUUUAUCUCUUGCUAGUCGACUGCCAGCACUAGUUAGAAGUUUGAGCAAUUAUUCAACUUGCAUUGCUUUUUGGCUAAAUUGUGCCACUGAUAUUGUGAGUUGAGAAACCUUUGCCAAGCUACACUUUUUCCUACCAAUAAGUACAGGUCUCGACACUACUGAUUCCUGGUUAUCGCUCCAUCCAAUCUUUAUCGGUCGUUUGAAGCCAACACCAACGCGUCGAUCACCGCCUAUUGCAUUGGUAAGAACAAGUAAGAAUUUGAUACUAAGUUUGAGUGUGAGCGAAUUUUGUCCACCAUAUCAUGCUAGUUGAUAGGGAUUAUACAUUGUUUUUUUCUCUUUGGCUAACAAUGGCACAGGAUCAGCCCACACUUGAGGGUCUCACCGCGGAUGUGAAAGUCACUAGCGAGCGUCUUGCCCAACUUGAGAGUGCUCAGAUUGCGACCGAAGAAAGGCUCAAGGCCAUAGAGGAUGCACAGGGUGUUGCAAACACACAGCUAAAGGACAUCUUGUCACGUCUUGACGAGUUGCGGACUGCACCCCCCAUCAACAACAAUGCUGAUCCUCGCAACUCCACGGGUGGCGGCGCUAUUUCGCGAGCUCGGCGUGUGCCCAUGGGUCAUCCACAACACCCAGCUACUGCCACCGAUGCCGCCACCAUAAACCAGCACCAACAAAUUCCUCCCCGCGUCGAGCAACAUGGGCACAACUACGAGGAUUAUUCUGGUGACACCGAAGACGACCAAAUGGUCAACCAUCACAAUGACCGUGCUCAUCGACAACUACGUUUCAACCGUCAUGGUAUGGCACGAGGUCAACCCAGGUAUGAUGUUAGAGAUUAUCAACACUCUAGUGCCAAAAUCAAAUUUACUAUGCCUGCUUUCAAUGGUAAAUAUAAUCCAAAUGUUUAUCUUGACUGGGAACUUUCUGUUGAACAAAAAUUUGCAUGUCAUGAUAUUCGUGAGAACCAAAGAGUUAGGGCAGCCACUAGUGAAUUUACAAACUUUGCUUCCAUGUCGUGGAGUGAAUAUUGUCGUAUUAAUGCAAAUAAUAUACCUACUACUUGGGAAGCUUUAAAACGAGCUAUGCGACAGCGUUAUGUUCCUUCAUAUUAUGCUCGUGAUAAACUAAAUGAAUUGCAACGUUUAAAACAAGGUAGCAGCUCUGUAGAGGAUUAUUAUCUAGAAUUGCAAACUGGCUUAGUGCGAUGUGGAUUAGUUGAAACCGACGAUGCUAUGAUGGCUGGAUUUUUAGGUGGUUUGAAUCGUGAUAUUCAGGAUAUAUUGGACUAUAAGGAGUACAAUUCUAUUACUCAUUUGUUUCAUUUUGCUUGUAAAGCUGAAAGGGAAGUACAGGGACGACACAACAAGGGACGAGGUAACUUUUCUGCAGGUCGUCAUGUUGGAAAUAUGCCCUAGAGGCAAUAAUAAAAGCAUUAUUAUUAUAUUUCCUUGUUCAUGAUAAUUGUCUUUAUUCAUGCUAUAAUUGUGUUAUCCGGAAAUCGUAAUACAUGUGUGAAUAAUAGAGACCAACAUGUCCCUAGUAAGCCUCUAGUUGACUAGCUCGUUGAUCAACAGAUAGUCAUGGUUUCCUGACUAUGGACAUUGGAUGUCAUUGAUAACGAGAUCACAUCAUUAGGAUAAUGAUGUGAUGGACAAGACCCAAUUCUAAACAUAGCAUAAGAUCGUAUAGUUCGUUUGCUAGAGUUUUCCAAUGUCAAGUAUCUUUUCCUUAGACCAUGAGAUCGUGUAACUCCCGGAUACCGUAGGAGUGCUUUGGGUAUACCAAACGUCACAACGUAACUGGGUGACUAUAAAGGUAUACUACGGGUAUCUCCGAAAGUGUCUGUUGGGUUGACACGGAUCAAGACUGGGAUUUGUCACUCCGUAUGACGGAGAGGUAUCACUGGGCCCACUCGGUAAUGCAUCAUCAUAAUGAGCUCAAAGUGACCAAGUGUCUGGUCACGGGAUCAUGCAUUACGGUACGAGUAAAGUGACUUGCCGGUAACGAGAUUGAACGAGGUAUUGGGAUACUGACGAUCGGAUCUCGGGCAAGUAACAUACCGGUUGACAAAGGGAAUUGUAUACGGGGUUGUUUGAAUCCUCGACAUCGUGGUUCAUCAGAUGAGAUCAUCGAGGAGCAUGUGGGAGCCAACAUGGGUAUCCAGAUCCCGCUGUUGGUUAUUGACCGGAGAGCGAUCUCGGUCAUGUCUGCAUGUCUCCCGAACCCGUAGGGUCUACACACUUAAGGUUCGGUGACGCUAGGGUUGUAGGGAUAUGUAUAUGCAGUAACCCGAAUGUUGUUCGGAGUCCCGGAUGAGAUCCCGGACGUCACGAGGAGUUCCGGAAUGGUCCGGAGGUAAAGAUUUAUAUAUGGGAAGUCCUAUUUCGGCCAUCGGGACAAGUUUCGGGGUCAUCGGUAUUGUACUGGGACCACCGGAAGGGUCCCGGGGGUCCACCGGGUGGGGCCACCUGUCCCGGGGGGCCACAUGGGCUGUAGGGGGUGCUCCUUGGCCUACAUGAGCCAAGGGCACCAGCCCCAAGAGGCCCAUGCGCCUAGGGUUUCAAGGAGGAAGAGUCCUAGGAGGGGAAGGCACCUCCUAGGUGCCUUGGGAAGGAGGGAUUCCUCCCCCUUGGCCGCAACCCCCUAGGAUAUUAGAUCUCCUAGGGUCGGCGCCCCCCCCCUAGGCCCUCCUAUAUAUAGUGGGGGAAGGAGGGCUUUUUCAUCCAUGCUUUUUUGUGCCUCCCUCUCCCUCUCCAACUCCUCCUCCUCCUCCAUAGUGCUUGGCGAAGCCCUGCCGGAGUACUGCAGCUCCAUCAUCACCAUGCCGUCGUGCUACUGUUGGAGCCAUCUCCCUCAACCUCUCCUUCCCCCUUGUUGGAUCAAGAAGGAGGAGACGUGGCUGUUCCGUACGUGUGUUGAACGCGGAGGUGCCGUCCGUUCGGUGCUAGGAUCUCCGGUGAUUUGGAUCACGUCGUGUACGACUACCUCAUCCCCGUUCUUUGAACGCUUCCGCUCGCGAUCUACAAGGUACGUAGAUGCAUCUAAUCACUCAUUGCUAGAUGAACUCCUAGAUGGAUCUUGGUGAAACCGUAGGAAAAUUUUUGUUUUCUGCAACGUUCCCCAACACGUCACUCAUCAUGGACACACUCUCUAACUAUCCCACCCACUACCGAGGCAACACCACAUAACUCGAACAAUGGUGCAUUCCCAACAAGUUCAAAAUCAGCUCCACAAUCCUCUGCGGCUUCGAAAGCAAUAUCUCUAGCACCCACCACCUCGUCUGGAUGCACAAGAGACAUGAAGUGUCAUAUAUGCAAAGGUGGCGGGCACUUGAUGAAGGACUGUCCAAAUAAACGAACAUUCAUUGUGCGGGAAGAUGGUGAGUACUCCUCUGCUAGUGAUUUGGAUGAAGAUACACGUGCUAUGCUUGCCACUAAUAAUGCAGGUGACACCAAGGAGCAUGACACAGAGGAGAUACAUAUUAAUGCUGAGAUGGCAGAUCAAUACCCAAGCCUUGUAACCAUGCGAGUACUUAGUGCCCAGGUGGGGCAUACUGAGAUGCCUCAAUGUCAUAAUCUUUUUCAAACUAAGUUUGUUGUCAAAGGGCAUUCUGUUCGUGUGAUCAUUGAUGGUGGAAGCUGCAACAAUUUGGCGAGUAUUGAGAUGGUAGAGAAGCUUUGCCUCACCACUACAAGACACCCCCAUCCAUAUUACAUCCAAUGGUUCAACGAUUGUGGUAAGUUAAAGGUAACGCGUCGUGUGAGAGUACAUUUUACACUUGGUUCAUAUCAUGAUUAUGUUGACUGGGAUGUUGUACCUAUGCAAGCUUGUUCUUUAUUGUUAGGUCGACCAUGGCAAUAUGAUAAUAGUGUUACCCAUCAUGGUAGAACAAAUUCAUAUACUCUCGUGUUUCAAGGAAAAACUAUUAACUUGCUUCCAAUGACACCUACUGAAAUAAUAAAUGAUGAGAAAGCUAAAUCAACAGAUCAUACAAUGCAUAGUAUGCUUGCUUUCAAUUCUGAAAAAUUUCCGUUGAGUGUCUCAACAUCUGAUCUAUACAUAUCACAUGCUCAAAUAGUUCAUUUGCGUCCCCGUAAUUUAUAUACAAACUUUUUGUGGGAUAAAAUGGCUUUGCCCGUGGCAGCGUAUAUACCUGUUGCACCUAUUUUUGCCCUAUCGUAUGAUAAGUUUCAGGUAGAUAAAAGUCGAGGACGACUUUGUUUUCAAGGAAGGGGGGAUGAUGUGGACAUAGAUAUCAUAUAUACAUCUACGCGUGCGAGACAAAUAAAUGGCCAGGUACAAUCAUUUCUUUGUACAUAUGAUUUAACUGACCAGAAUAAGAUAGUACACUUAUAUUUUGAUUUAUUUAUAUUCAAGAAUAAAGGAAUCAGAAAAACAAUUAAAGAAGAGCAGCACUCUUUGCAUGCAUGCGCUUUAUUGUCCUUGCAUGCAUGGACUCCACCACCGAACCAUCUAUUCCAUCCAUCAUGCAUGAGGAGCAAAGGGCCAACGUCACAAGAGUCAGACAAUUUUGUUUUAUCUAAAUUAACAAGAGAAGUAAUGUGAUGAGGCCAAAGACUUGCACCAGGAUGGGCCAACCGAAGCAACCGCAGCCGCCGUACAGCGUCAGGUCAUCGUACGGCCCAACAUCCUAUGGAACGACGGACAGACUCGCCGUACGUCCACCUUUAAUAAAUAGUCAAUCUAGGUUAGGGUUUAGACUUGGAUUUUGUUUAGAGAAGUUCAGCUAUACUGCUACUUUUAUUUGUCUUCGCUCAUAGCGGCUAGUGCGACCGUCAAGACAUCUUAUCGGAACCCCAUCUUGUGAGAUUAAUCCCAUCUAGCAUAUUCGCAAUUUUGAGAUUGCUUGGCUAUUAUUUUCUUGCAUGUUCUUCGAUUUGCUUGCAGGAAAAAUCCUUCGUGGAUAGGUCGAUCGCGUCGUUGGCUCGGUCGAUAAUGUCGUGGAGUUGGUUCAGCGAUUGCCGUCGAUAUCAGUCGUGUACAGUUCUCCCUGUACGGUUCGUAGCCGGAUCAUGAGGGUCAAGUCCCACCCAAAAUCGUAGUUAUCCUCUCUCAUCGAAAGAUCGGGUCCCCAGUUCACAUCAACAAAUCUCUAUGAAAUCCAAAAACCGAAGAUGAUUGAAGACUUUUGCGUGCAAGAUCUGCUCUAAUGUUUUAAAAUUCUAGCAGAGAAAAUAAAUAUUCCGAUUAGUAGGCAGGAAAUAGGUAUUCAGAUUAAUAAUGGAGCUUCAUUAUACUCCCUCCAUUUCUAAAUAUAGGGUGCAUAGUUUUUGGCACGGAAAUUAAAGAAUGCACAUGAAGGGAAAAUUUCACAAGUUUUGGGCAAGACUACAACUGACUAAUUGACAUGAGAAAAUAGAGGAGUUUGCCCUAUAUAAGGAAAUGUAAUCAAAUCCCUUAAAAAGUUAUCCAAAUGAGUGGUGCAAGGCAAUACACCUUAUAUUUUGAACUUUUUCUCAAAAAUCUAUACACCUUAUAUCAAGGAAUGGAGGGAGUAUUUUUUUAGUUUUUUGGAAUUUAUUAGAAAAUAAAAGGAAUUGCAUUGUCAUAAUUAUGUUUUUAAGCCUAACAAUGUUUUUUAUGUUGUGAGCCAAACCACUUGUACAAUUUCAUGGUUUCAAUUGGAAAGUUGCAAAAAGGCAGUACAACUAGGAACAGACAUAAAAAAAAGAUCUCGUCCUAAUUAUAUAUAAAUUUUUUUGAUGAAAAGGGUUUCCCUGCCCCAUUUUUAUUAAUACAAGCCAACCAGACCACGCCUAAACUGUUUCCAGCGCUCCGGAACAAGCCAAAGUUGCUGAACCAGAUACUACAGGUUUAAAGCAUAGGAAUAAUCUACUACAGUAGCAGCCAUGGGGUUAAGAACAAGUCAACCAAGCUACUUCCUCUGUCUCAUAAUAUAAGAGCGUUUUUAUACUAUAUUAGUAUUAAAAACGUUCUUAUAUUAUGGGACGGAGGGAGUAUUUUAUUACAAGAUCAUCGAUCUCGUCCUAAUCAAGAUGGCGCCCCUAAUCAAGACUCCGUGUAGACCCGACGCGUCCGUUUUCCCCCUCCAGGUGCCGGCGGCGGCGGCGUCCGUGAGGGGGGGGGGGGUGGCACACCCCGGAGACGCGUGCUGGGCGUUUGCAACCGCCUCAACACUUCCAGAUUUGUGAGAGGCCGCCUACGCAAGAUUUGACGGUAUGCUAGCCCCCGGAGGCCGCCGGCCACAGUCAUAGACGUGCGAAGAGCAAUCCGCGUAGAGGGAAGUGUUCAGAUACUUCUCCAUCACAAAAAAUUAUGAAAAAUUACCAUCAGUCCUAUAGCACAUGUGCCCACGUUGUGUAAAAAACUCAUGAUUUUAUCGCGCUCCAAGUAUUUAAUAAUAUUCACGCUGCAUCGUUACCGCAGAACNNNNNNNNNNNNNNNNNNNNNNNNNNNNNNNNNNNNNNNNNNNNNNNNNNNNNNNNNNNNNNNNNNNNNNNNNNNNNNNNNNNNNNNNNNNNNNNNNNNNNNNNNNNNNNNNNNNNNNNNNNNNNNNNNNNNNNNNNNNNNNNNNNNNNNNNNNNNNNNNNNNNNNNNNNNNNNNNNNNNNNNNNNNNNNNNNNNNNNNNNNNNNNNNNNNNNNNNNNNNNNNNNNNNNNNNNNNNNNNNNNNNNNNNNNNNNNNNNNNNNNNNNGGGGGGGGCACACCCCGGAGACGCGUGCUGGGCGUUUGCAACCGCCUCAACACUUCCAGACUUGUGAGAGGCCGCCUACGCAAGAUUUGACGGUAUGCUAGCCCCCGGAGGCCGCCGGCCACAGUCGUAGACGUGCGAAGAGCAAUCCGCGUAGAGGGAAGUGUUCAGAUACUUCUCCAUCACAAAAAAUUAUGAAAAAUUACCAUCAGUCCUAUAGCACAUGUGCCCACGUUGUGUAAAAAACUCAUGAUUUUAUCGCGCUCCAAGUAUUUAAUAAUAUUCACGCUGCAUCGUUACCGCAGAACGUCUACUACCGUUUCAUUGCCGUCCGUGAGGGGGGCCACAACCCGGAGACGCGUGCCGCCUCUUCGGACAUGCCACAACACCACCCCGCAUGUAUGAGGGCCCGGUACGACGAUCCGGUGGCAUUGCUACCCCCCAGGGCCCCCGUCCCGCCUAACCCUGUAGCGUUUGACCACGGGAUCUAGCCCUUUGACUUUGCACGGACGGACUUUGACCAGUGGACCUCUCCACCCGGUUGUGUUAGGUCGGCCCAGAGGAACACUUUGGAGCAACAUCCCGGCCAAAACCACAGCUACAUCCACUCCGUGUAGACCCGACGCGUCCGUUUCCCCCCUCCAGGUGCCGGCGGCGGCGGUGUCCGUGAGGGGGGGGGCACACCCCGGAGACGCGUGCUGGGCGUUUGCAACCGCCUCAACACUUCCAGAUUUGUGAGAGGCCGCCUACGCAAGAUUUGACGGUAUGCUAGCCCCCGGAGGCCGCCGGCCACAGUCGUAGACGUGCGAAGAGCAAUCCGCGUAGAGGGAAGUGUUCAGAUACUUCUCCAUCACAAAAAAUUAUGAAAAAUUACCAUCAGUCCUAUAGCACAUGUGCCCACGUUGUGUAAAAAACUCAUGAUUUUAUCGCGCUCCAAGUAUUUAAUAAUAUUCACGCUGCAUCGUUACCGCAGAACGUCUACUACCGUUUCAUUGCCGUCCGUGAGGGGGGCCACAACCGGGAGACGCGUGCCGCCUCUUCGGACAUGCCACAACACCACCCCGCAUGUAUGAGGGCCCGGUACGACGCUCCGGUGGCAUUGCUACCCCCCAGGGCCCCCGUCCCGGCUAACCCUGUAGCGUUUGACCACGGGAUCUAGCCCUUUGACUUUGCACGGACGGGCUUUGACCAGUGGACCUCUCCACCCGGUUGUGUNNNNNNNNNNNNNNNNNNNNNNNNNNNNNNNNNNNNNNNNNNNNNNNNNNNNNNNNNNNNNNNNNNNNNNNNNNNNNNNNNNNNNNNNNNNNNNNNNNNNNNNNNNNNNNNNNNNNNNNNNNNNNNNNNNNNNNNNNNNNNNNNNNNNNNNNNNNNNNNNNNNNNNNNNNNNNNNNNNNNNNNNNNNNNNNNNNNNNNNNNNNNNNNNNNNNNNNNNNNNNNNNNNNNNNNNNNNNNNNNNNNNNNNNNNNNNNNNNNNNNNNNNNNNNNNNNNNNNNNNNNNNNNNNNNNNNNNNNNNNNNNNNNNNNNNNNNNNNNNNNNNNNNNNNNNNNNNNNNNNNNNNNNNNNNNNNNNNNNNNNNNNNNNNNNNNNNNNNNNNNNNNNNNNNNNNNNNNNNNNNNNNNNNNNNNNNNNNNNNNNNNNNNGGGGCACGCACCGGAGACGCGUGCCGCCUCUUCGGACAUGCCACAACACCACCCCGCAUGUAUGAGGGCCCGCUACGACGCUCCGGUGGCAUUGCUACCCCCCAGGGCCCCCGUCCCGCCUAACCCUGGAGCGGUUGACCACGAGAUCUAGCCUUUUGACUUCCCACGGACGGGCUUUGACCAGUGGACCUCUCCACCCGGUUGUGUUAGGUCGGCCCAGAGGGACACCCGGGAGCAACAUCCGGACCAAAACCACAGCUACAUCCACUCCAUGUAGACCUGACGCGUCCGUUUCCCCCCUCCAGGUGCCGGCGGCGGCGCCGUCCAUGAGGGGGGGCACACCGCGGAUGUGAGGGGGGUCACUCUCUGGAGACGGGUGUCGGGCCUUUGCAACUGCCACAAAACUUCUGUCGGCAUAGCUGUUUUUGAUUUUAAUAAAAUAUAAGGAUCUAUAUUUAAAAGAACAUGACCGCACAUUAUUAACGUGCUCGAAAAAAUACAAACUAUAUAUAUAUAUAUUCAUAAUAUAUGAAAAAAAUACAAACUACAUAUAUAUUCAUAUGUAUGUUUAUAUUUAACAUGCUACAUGUUAGUUGAUAUAAUAAUACACAAAAAAGCAUUAAAAAAUAUGUACAGAAAAAAAUCUAACUAUGCCGACGGCCUAGCCGUCGGCAUAGAUCCGACCAGCGUGCCGCGGAUCACUGACGUGGCAGAUAUGCCGACGGCAGCCGUCGGCAUAGGCUCUGCGUGGUGCGGCCUGGAUCAAUGACGUGGCCUGCGGACCUAUGCCGACGGCCCCCCGUCUAGGCCGUCGGCAUAGCUCUGACGCCGUUUGCCAGGGGGUGGCCGGGCCCCACGUGUAUGCCGACGGCCUUCGUAAGCCGACGGGAGCUGUCGGCGUAUAUGUAGCUAGGCCGACGGCCGUUCUAUGCCGACGGGUGCCGUCGGCUUAUCUCUGCGUAACCCGACGGCCUUUGUACGCCGACGGCCAGAACCAGGCUAUCGGCAUAUCUCCGAAGAAGCCGACGGGGGCCGUCGGCAUUGUUCUGGCCGUCGGGGUAUGGCCCUGUUCCGGUAGUGGGCACGGGAGUUACAAACAUCGACACAGUCAUCACUCACUGAAGAAAGGAAUAUGUCGAUGUUUAGUCCUGCUUAGACCAAUGGAGUGUGUGGUAUCUACGUCAAAAGGUGUUGCUCGUGCAAAACCGUUGUGUGUGGCACUUGGCACCACGCAGCAAAAAGGCUGAAUUUAUUUCCUCAUACCUUCUAAUCCAAUUCUGCUCAACGGCCGAUGCCGUGUGACCUCUAUUUGUUCUAAUACUAGCUGAUGAACCAUCCUUGGUCUUAGAGGAUUGAUGGGGAAUGACGAGUCUCAGUGAGUGCUCGACGAUAUUUAUUUUUUAUGGCAACCUAUACAUGUUUAUGCGUAAGUGGACAUGCACAUGCUUCAUCAGUCCUCUCUUAACUAUUCCAAAUGCAUUUGGCAGAUGAUUGAUCAGUCAUCAUUAUGUGUGGACAGUUAUGUUUCGUAAGCAUGCAUCCAGCUCACAUGAAUAAUGAAUUCUCUCCAUUCCAUGUCUCUUUUUAUCUCUUCUCGGUCUAUCACUCUAUCUUAUCUCGUUCUCCCCCAGACCUUUCCUCCUAUCCCUCUACGGCUGCUCAUCUGGCCGGGGACGUAUGGGGGUGAGGCUUUGCACUCUACUUCACUUCGUAAUCCGUUUGUUUGUGCUUCCUUUCAUGGUUGCUGUUUGAAAUUUGGAACCAAAUCAUAUGUGUCACCGCUGUUUGGAAGUUGAUUUUGAUUAUGAAGUUGAGACUAGACGGAGUUGAUUCUGGACCCCGCUUGUAGGACGCCCCGCCGGCAGAACGAUCCCAUUACGGAUAUUCUGGAGGGGGGCACACUUAACAAAGCACAAAUAUGGGAACUCUCCCUGCGAUCACCAUCGUUUUUUUGGACAAGGAGGAUAUACCCCCGGCCUCUGCAUCUGGGCGAUGCAUGCAGCUAUUUUAUUAAUUAUUAAUAUAAAGCAGGCUCGACAAAGAAGAUAACAAUCAUUCGAGCACAAGGGGUCAUCGAUCAACCUAGUUCAUCCUCCUGACAAGUUGAUUGAUGUAGUUCUCAUGGUUAUCGGUGUCACCACCCUCAACUUAGUGGUUCCUUUUCUUCUUGAGGCCCCCCACCGGCGCCUUCAGUUUGAAUGGCUAGUUGUUGGUCUCCUUGAUGUGUGGGUCGGCAGUAAAGAUCUCGAGGACAAAGUCCUCAAUGCAAAUGAUGUUGUGCUUUCCAAGACCCUGGUAAGGCAAGAAAAAAUGGUCGUAAUCAUCCCAGAGUUGCGUCUUUAGCUGAAAUAAGGUAAGAGCCAUAUGUGGGCAACAAUCAACUUCUAAUAACCUCCUCACUGACUUUGUUGUUGAUCAGAGGAAUCAUUUGCGUGUUGAGCUUUUCAUAACCUCUCAUGUGUACAUAACAUCCUUGAUGCUCUUCGGGUUUGGAUACCUACAAACAAAAUUAUUUUAUCCAAUUAAGUACAGAUGGAGCCUGACACAGACUCGUGCAAUAUCCAAUAUCUUUGACUAGUUGCACUUAGGAUGUAUAAAUCCUCGAAUAUAAUUUGCUUCAAAUCUACUCAGCUACAUAUCGAAAAUUGAAGGAAUUGCGUAGCAACCAUUCAUUAACAAAAUUUAUAUUUUAAGCCCAAUGUGAUUUACUUGACAACCAAGUCUUUGUACAGUUUCACGGUUGCAUGCGGACAUUUGCAAAAGUUAGUACUGCUGGGAGUAGAUCUAGGAAUCCACACCAAGAAUGAUAUCGUCCUAAUUGAGAUGGUGCAAGGGUUACAGACAAAACAAUCAUCACUUGCUGAAGAGAUCCUGAUCCGGCCACCUUCGGUCAGGGUAAGCAAGUUGAUUCCACCCCGUCAUGCUGCGAUAUGAUUGUCAGAAAUGUUUGGACUGGCAAUAUGUGUAGUAGCAUCUCCGCCGAUCGAAGACACUGAUCCUGCAAACUCGUUGUGUGUAUGAGCAGGUGGCCUCGUUGGCAUCACGCAACACAAAGAUUGAAUGUAUUUCCUCACACCUCCUAGUCCAAUUUUUCUCAUCGGCAGGUUGUUUCGUGACCUCUAGUUGUUCUAAUACCAGCUGGCGAACCAUCCUCAUCCUUAGAAGAUUUGAGUGGGCAUGAGGAUUCCAAAUGUUGAUGUAUAUGUAAACAUUUAUAGAUCACAUGAAUGCGGGGGCUCUCAUUUUCCCUUGUUUCUUUCUAUGUCCUCCCCCGGCGUGUCCUCUCCCAUCACUCUACGUUGGCUCAUCCGACUUGGAUGGGAGCGGAGGAAAUUUUCACUCUCCUUUGUUUUUUUUAGGAAAUGGCCAUCAUGACUUACUUUAUUGAUUGAGCAAUAUCUUUUCGUCAUUCACUAGGGUGCUUACAAGAAAAUCAGGGGGGUCAUCGACCUAAUUACAGGAUACAUCAUUCCAUAACCUCUCUUCUAGAUAACCUCAGUGAUACUCUUCAGGUUUCAUUACCUACAAAGAUAAUUGUUUUACCCAGUUAACUACAGAUGGUGCAUCAAAUAGACUCUUGAAACAUUUGGUCGUUAGUUUGUUUUCCUUGCAAACAACAUGGAUAUAAAUCUCUACAAAGUUAGAUCAUUCAAGACUUUUAUGCGCAAGAGCUAAUUUUUAAAAAUUCUAGAGGGAAUAAAUAUUCAGAUUAGUACGUAGGAAAAUAUUAUUCAGAUUAGUAAUCAGGCUUCAUUAGAUGUUUAAGUUAGUUAGAACAUUUUUAAAAUAAAAUAAAUCACAUAACAAUAAUUCAUUGCCGAAAUUCAGUUUUUUAGCGCAGUGAUGUUUGGUUGACAACCUUUGUGCAUUUUCAAAGGUGCGGGUGGACAGCUGCAAAAGCCAGUACAAACUGGAGUUUUAGGACCACGCGUCAACAAUGACCUCGUGAUCUAGGAACAUAGAUCACCCGCUGGAGAAAGCGAUCUUGAUGGAUUGCUGAAAACUGUUUGGACUGACAGUAUGUGUAGCCGCAUCUCCGUCGAAGACAUUGAUAGUGCAAGCUUGUUGUGAGUAGGAGAAACUGCUCUUGUUGGCAUCACACGGCACGAAUGUAUUUUCCCAUACCUCCUAAUCCGAUUAUGCUCAUCGGCUGGUUGUUGUGUGACCUCUGGUUGUUCUAAUACUAGCCAACAAAUCAUCCUCGUUUUUGGAGGAUUUAAGUGGGGAUGAGGAGUCCAAGUGCUCGACGGUGCAUCAUAUAUAGUCUGAGUACUCUAUACAUGUACUGUUGCCAGUGAACGUCCACAUGCUUCAUCAAUCUCCCCUUAGGUACACUUAUGUUUGGUGGAAGCAUGAAUCAUUUUCCUCUUACCACUCCGAUCGUAUGGAAACAGAGGUACGGAUAUAUAGGCAUAUUUUAGAGUGUAGAUUCACUCAUUUUGCUCCGUAUGUAGUCUAUAUCAUAAUCUCUAAAAAAAACUUAUAUUUAGGAAUGGAGGGAGUACUUCGUAAAUCAGUUUGUUUGUGUGUCAAGGCCUGUGAUGGGGAUUGAGCUGAAUCAGCCGAAAUACACUAUGUUCACCGUGAAUAACAAAAACCGAGACCUUGCAAAGCCUGCAUACUAGGCUGACAACAACGAGAAACGUAUUCUCAGCACGUAGCAGAAGAUUAAAUACGUCUCAUAACAUCCACAUACAGAGUCAGAUUAUAGGUUUAACCGAGAAGCGAGGAGGGAUCCAUGUAUGCACCAAAUCGUGAAUUAUUUACGACUAACCAAUAUGCCAACUCGACCCUUACUUAGGCUAUGUUCGGUUAAACUCCUCUUGGAGAGGAAUGGAGAGGUUUGAAGGGGAUUGAGGUGGAUUUUGACUCAUAGGGGAUUUAAUCCUCCCCAAUCCACUCCAAUCCUCUUCAAAACUCUUGCAACCGAACAAAGCCUUAAGGAGAUUGAAUCCUUGCUAAAUAAACCUUGUGUGUGCCUCUUCAAAAAGGGUGUGACCGUAUAGCGUAUUACUCAUAUAAAAAAAAUUAAUGUCUUAAGUAAUGUAUCGAUGGUUGGGCAAUGCACCACUCUGUGACCAAUAUCAAGGAUUGUUUCACAGUGUGCAUAGAAAACAAAACACAAUUGAACAAAUCUUAAGUACCUCACCUCCUAUGAGGCUAUGACUUACUCCGGCCUAGGCUGCGUUCAACAGUGACAUAGUUCUGAUGAGUCCUGGUGUCACAAGAACCGGAAGUUCUUAGUCAGUUCUAUAUACUGAAUUUUCCUCCACUAUGAUGCCCCAAUUAAUUUAGAAACCUUGAACCUUAAAACACGUGUCACAAUUAAUUUAGAAGUCUUUGACUAAUUAUCUUCUUUUUGAGGAAAAAAAAUAUUAUUCCCCAAUGUAGAUUGUCUUUGCAUACUCUGUUAUCAGUGUAUUCUACACCGACCGGAGCACUGACAGUUGCCUAUGUAAAAUGUAUCCAUAUGGAGAGCAUGUCCGAAGAGAUAUUUACCAAACAUGGAUUUGUCUUUAGAUCGGACUUCCUUCACAUUGAUUUGGAUGCGGUAUUUUCCUUCUUGUUGUAGACUACGCCAGUUAAAGAAUUCUUUUCUAUGUGUGCAGUCGAGCAAUAUUGAGGCCAAUUGUGAACUUAUUUCACUUGUAUUACCCUGGUGUGUGUUUUGUGUCAUAAAAACUACCUUUAUGGGAAAAGCGUUGCCAUGGAUAUACAUUGCAGUCCUCGAAUUGUAGUCGCCUGGGGAUAGUGGGAUAUGCUUCCUCAUCAAGCUCAUAAACUCCUCGCACUUGUACACUUGAGCUUGGGUCACUGUUGUUUAAGCAAAUGAAACGAUCUACUUUGUCAUUAAUGAUGCGUGGUGCUCUCAGCAAACCUAUCUCUCGUCAUUCUACGGAACUGAUGUCCAUGGCAGUUUCCAAGCCAGAACAUGCUAGAAAAUUUCAUACUAGGACUUUUUGCCUUCUUUCGAUGUGUCGUGCUUGGCUUAAGGUCAAAACUUCAAUUUGCUGACUACUACUCCCUCCGUUCAAAAAUACUUGCCGGGGGAAUGGAUGUAUCUAGACGCAUUUUAGUUCUCGAUAUCCAUUUUUGUGUAUUUCUUCAACAAGUAUAUUGGAACGGAGGGAGUAUAAUAUACUCCUUCUGUACCAUAAUAUUUGUAGUUUUAGCAACUCAAACUGAGCUGCUAAAACUACAAAUAUUAUUGUACAGAGAGAGUAGCUAUCAAUUGGCUAGUGUUCUACGCAAUAAUCUCCACUGCAGAUAAACAAAAUGUAUGGUCAUUAGUCUGUUGCUCUUGCGAACAACCCGGAUAUAGAUCUCUACGAAAUCACAAAACCAUAGAUCAUUGAAGACUUAAACGCAAGAGCUAUAUUUUUUAAAAAAAAUGGAGGAAAUAAAUAUAUAGAUUAGUAUGAAGGAAGUUAUUAUUCAUGUUAGUAAUUCAGGCUUCAUUGUAUGUCUAAGUUAUUUAGAAUAUUUUUUACAUAAAAUAAAUUGCAUAGUAGCGAUUCAGUGCCAAAAUUCAGUUUUCUUAGCCCAUUGACAUUUCAUUGACAACCAAACCUCUAUACUAUUUCAAAGUUGCCACUGGGCAGUUGCAAAAGCCGGUACAACUAGGAGUCAAUCUAGGAGCCGACAUCAACAAUGAUCUUGUCAUGGCACACGGGUUAGAGACACAACGGCUGAACAAGGCCAUAUUGAUCAGACCACCUUCGGCACGAGCAAGUUGAUGCCAUCCCUGCAUGAUGCAGAAGGUGACCUAGUUGGCACCUCGUAAAACCAAGGUUGCAUGUGUUUCGUCAUACCUCCUAAUCCAAUUCUGCUCAUCGGCUAGUUGCCGUAGUUGUUCUAAUACUAGAGGACGAGGACGAACCAUCCUAGUCUGAAGGGCCGAGUAACUCCCAAGACUUCCUGGUACAGAUGCCAGAUGUUUGCAACUCAUAAGGUAUAGAGUUGGUCCCCUCCCUCCGCGUCGUCUCCCGCGAGGCGGCCCGGAGGCCAACCCCAACCCUCGCCGCCGCUCCCUCCUCCCCACUCCUCCUUCCUCGCCGCCGCCCAGGGGCGCAGCCGGGCGAAGCCCUGCUGUUGCCGGCAGCGGCGGGGCCCCUUUGUCUCCCCACUCGGGCGGUGCUGGCGCGGGCCGGCGUCCCGGGCCGGGUCGUGGAGCUGCAGCCGGGCUCCAUGGCGGCGCGGCGGGCUGGGGUGGCGCCCUGCCGUCCCUGCCUCCCCCCACGGCGGGCGGCUAGGCGGAUGGCGCAUGUGCCCGAGACAGCGGCGACUCCAGCGCGGCCAGAUCUGGCUCAUGGCGGCACGGGUUGUCGGUGGCCACCUCUGCCGUGACCGCGGCAGGUGGUGGUGGCACCGCGGCAGUUGGUGGUGGUGGUGCGGGCCGGAGGUUGGAGACGGCGGCCACGGCGGCUCUUCCGGAUCUGGCCUUUCGGUGACGUGGGCCACGGCGGCUAGGGCUGCGGGUGGCGGCCCUGACCGAGGCCCCCUCGGCUGGUCGGGGUGGCGGCGCAGUGGCGGUGGUUGCACGGGUGCGUGCCCGGCGGCUGCCGUGGUGGUGGCAGGUUGAUUGCGGCGGCGGCCAGAUUGUUCUGGCGGCGGCUCGUCUGUAGGCUGCAUGUAUCGGCCUUCGACUCCUCUUCUCGGCGUCUGUUCGCUUAUCUCGCCGGUGGGCUGGCCUUCUCCCGGCUGUUGUCCAUCGACCGUCUCGCAUCCGGUGCCGUAGGACUAAGCUGGUUUCGCGCCCGGCAGCAGGACCGGCCGGUCUCGCGCCCGGCAGCAGGACUGCGCUCGUCUCGCGCCCGGCAACAGGACUGGCCCGUCUCGCGCCUGGCGACAGGACUGCGCUCGUCUCGCGCUCGGUGUCGCAGGACGGCUCGAUGGAGGCUUGUCGCCGGCCUAUUGGGUCUCGGCGCUGGGACCGGCCAAGGGUGCGAAAGCCGGAGCCUUUCCGCCCGUCUCUGUGGUUGGGGUAUCGGUGGGGCUCGGAGGACUUGGUGUCAAGGUCUUGGAUUCCGGGGCAGCGGCCCUGGUGGUGGUGGCGCGGUGCUCAUGGACAGAGCGCGUGCCUCGGUGCUGCUCGGCUGCCAUGGCCGUGUGGGCGCCAUGGUAGCCAGGAUGUGGCGUUCGGUGGCAGUGUGUGUUGGCCGGGGUGAAAACCUCUCUAUCUUCGGACGGACUGGCGACGGCGAAGAUCGCUUCCUUCUUGAAGGCGUCGUCGCGGCUAUCACUGCCCAUCGUGUUGCUCCAGGGGAAACUCUGAUCCUCGGAUCGGGCGAUGGCGGCGCUCCGGUGCCGUAUCCUUCCUGAAGGCGCCGCCUUGGAGCCCACGGUUCGUCAUAUGCGGCUCCACUUCUUCGCGGUGUACACGGUUGAAGCUCCCGGCGGCUCGUGUAGUGCUAGGGAGUGUGUUGCUGCGCUCAGCGCUUAUGUAUCUUGUCUUGGGUGUGUGUGCGUUUGUGGUGGGUACGUGCGGUUGUACUCGACAUUGUUGGUUUAUGCUUUAUAUAUAAAGCGGGAUGAAAGCCUUUUUCGGUAAGAGGAUUUGAGUGGAUUAUAACUAGAGGACGAACCAUACUCGCUCUUAAGAGGAUUUGAGUGGGGAUGAGGAGUCCGCUCGACGGUGCAUAAUAUAUGUUCUCCAUAACCUUUACAUGUACUGUUGCCAGGGCAGAACAUGCUUCAUCAAUUUCUCCUUGGCUAUUCCAAAUGCAUUCAGCGUAUGGUUGGUCAGUCAUCGUUAAUGUGUGGGAAUGUGCUGCUCUCUCAUUUUCCUUUCUGAAGUCCGGCUGCAAUGUUUGUUUAGUCGGAAUUUCCAGCCGAAUGCAAGCCGAACCCGAAAUAUAUGUUAGCAUAAGAGCAACUCCAAUAAGGUGAUCCAAACAGAUAUCGAUUUUGUCUGUUUUUUAUUCGUAUGGGUCGCCUGUCCGCGCGUCCAUGUUCGCUUUUUUAUUUGGGUCUGCGUGUGCGUCCAACGGCAGCCAGACCCAUUUUCAACAUGUCCGCCCUGACAUUUUCUCGAACACGUAGCAGGCAGGGCAGGGGAGCUCGCAGCGCGGGGGAGGGGGAGGUGCUGAUGGGCGAGGUCGAACCCCACGGCGGGGGCGGCACGACGAGCGCCACGAGCAUGGCGCGGCGAGCGCGAGGGCACGGCGGGGCGAGGCCAGGCGCUGUCGGGCGUGGCGAGACGCGCGACCAGGAGAGGCGGGGUGGCGCGGGGACGGUGAAGGUGGGGGCGACCAGCAGCGGUGCAGGGGACGAGAUCGGGUCGGGCACGCGAGCUACGACGCGUGGGAGGCCGGCGUCCACUCUGUGCAGUCGCGGAGCCGCCUCGCUCGCUUCCUCAGCACCGGACCCUCGUGCCAGAUCGGGGAGCGGCGAGCAGUGGAGGAGGGACGUGACGCUCACCUCCGCCCAGAUUCAGCCCGCGGCCGAGCGCGCGACCAGCAGCGGCGGCAGGGCGGAGAGCGGCACGACACGGCGCGACGCAGCAAGGGUGAGCGGCGAGACAAGGAGCAGAGGCGCAUCGAGCGGUGGGGUGGGCCAGCUAAUAAAAGUAGAGGGGAUGGGUGGGUGACAAGCGGGCCAGGCCAGGACGCACACGGACAAGGGAGCCAGAGAAAGCAUCCGUUUUGUGUCCGCCCACGACCUAAAUGUGGCUCAAAUUUGGACACUAAAUAGAAAUGGGUCGCUGUGUCACCCCUUUGGAGUUGCUCUAAACAACAGAAAAAUUUACGCAGAACCAGCAAGUUCAAAGUAAAAAUUACAAAGCCCCACAUACUAUGUAGACAGCAACGAGAAACGUAUUCGAGGCACAUAGCAGGAGGCAUUAAACACGGUCUCAAAACCUCCACAUACAGAGUCAGAUUCUUCCAAACAUGCAUAUCAUGGUUCCGAAAUAUCAAAACUGCAUCCACCAUCCACUUCCUAAUGUAAAGCAGGCUUAACAAACAAAACAUCUUCCGAAUACAAGAGAUCAUCGAUGAUCAACCUAGUUCAUCCUCCUGACGAGCUGGUUGAUGUAGUUCUCGCGGUUGCCGGCGUCGCCACCCUCGACGUAGUGGUUCCUCUUCUUCUUGAGGCCUCCCAGCGGCGCCUUCAGCUUGAAGGGCCACAGGAAGUUGUUGGCCUCCUUGAAGU
rnacentral:lncRNA from 1 species